rnacentral:rRNA from 1 species
GACGAACGCUGGCGGCGUGCCUAAUACAUGCAAGUCGAACGCACUCUCGUUUAGAUUGAAGGAGCUUGCUCCUGAUUGAUAAACAUUUGAGUGAGUGGCGGACGGGUGAGUAACACGUGGGUAACCUGCCCUAAAGUGGGGGAUAACAUUUGGAAACAGAUGCUAAUACCGCAUAAAACCUAAACACCGCAUGGUGUAGGGUUGAAAGAUGGUUUCGGCUAUCACUUUAGGAUGGACCCGCGGUGCAUUAGUUAGUUGGUGAGGUAAAGGCUCACCAAGACCGUGAUGCAUAGCCGACCUGAGAGGGUAAUCGGCCACACUGGGACUGAGACACGGCCCAGACUCCUACGGGAGGCAGCAGUAGGGAAUCUUCCACAAUGGACGAAAAGUCUGAUGGAGCAACGCCGCG